CGUUUUUUUUCUUUUUUUCGGGAAUAAUGAAGGGUAAAUUUUGGGGUAUUACAGUUGCCCCUAUUCAAUCAACUGGAGACCUGGAAAGAAGAUAGCAAUGACUUUCGUGCUUUCGAGGUAUCAAGGGAUUGAAUACAAUAAAAGCCCGAAAUUUUGCACUGAAGUGAAGUGAAGUAACAAUGUCUGUCAGAAUCGGCAAAGAGGUGGUCUUGAAAGAAGAAUCUGUCUGGUACGGUGAGAG
rnacentral:lncRNA from 1 species